GUUUUCCUUGCGGGCGGGCCCGAGGCGUUGACGUCUCAGGGAUUGGCGACACGUCGGUGGUUGAUUAGGCGAAUACAGAAAGAAGACACAAGAGUCACUUGAGAAAAAAAAGUACCAGUUUGGAAACAAGAAAAAAUUAACACAGCCUUCCAUCCUUCCGAGGAGGACUACCUGUACAUAAAACUCAUCCCAAUAUUCUGGAGAAAAAUGGGCCAUUAUUCUUCCCACUUAGCAGAAAAGCCAAGAUGGUGACUAUGCUGCAAAUGACAAAUGUAGAAAUGGAAUGGGGUUUCAAUCGCAUGUUCAUGGACAUCAUCUGGAGCGUUUGAUAGACAUCUUUGUUUAACAGUUUUAGUUGUAUUUGGGUUUCAUUCACCAGUCCCUAUUAAUGAUAAAUUGCUUUUUUUCUAAUUAGAGCCCAAAGAAUAAAAAUGAUCAUUAGAUUUUCA